UGUUUUCAUGUAUUUUUUUUGAUAGGUUAAAAUUAUAUGUAAGUUUUUGCAUUUGAGAGAUAAUGGAGUUAUCCUAAUUUGAGCUCAAUUAUCUCUCAAUUACAAAGGCUCUUGGGAAAGAAACCCUUGUGUUUUUUUGUGUUUCUGAUUUGGAAACCACAUGCUGGGCAAUGCAUAAAAGCCGAGUGUGGCAAGAUAAAGUCAGUUGUGCUCUCAGAACUGUGUGUCGUCCAACUGCUGGAGAGGAGGUAGACUAUUUACUUGGCAUGUUCUUGUCUCUGAUUCUACUCUUGGUGAUCCAGCAGAGGAAAGUUCCUGUUAGGACUCGGGCUCCACUACACUGGGAACACCAAUACAUUUUGGAGAUGCUCUGAUUUAGUUGUCUAGCCAGAGAGCAAAAAAUGGGUCGCAAGAGUAUUCUGAGAACGGACAGCAGCUAAAAUAGCCUGCCCUUCGGUGGGUCCCCGCUGAGAACUCAAGCUGGUGUUAGCUCAUCUUGUG